rnacentral:rRNA from 1 species
GACGAACGCUGGCGGCGUGCUUAACACAUGCAAGUCGAACGGAGUGGCGAACGGGUGAGUAACACGUGGGUGACCUGCCCUGCACUUCGGGAUAAGCCUGGGAAACUGGGUCUAAUACCGGAUAGUGUGGGAUGGGCGCGGGGCCUAUCCGCUUGUUGGUGGGGUAAUGGCCUACCAAGGCGGCGACGGGUAGCCGGCCUGAGAGGGGGGACGGCCACAUGGGGACUGAGACACGGACCAGACGGCAACGGGGGGCAGCGGUGGGGAAUAUUGCACAGUGGGCGGAAGCCUGAUGCGGCGACGCCGGGGGGGGGAUGACGGCCUUCGGGUUGUAAACGCCUUUCACCAUCGACGCGGUAGAUGGAGAAGAAGCACCGGCUAACUACGUGCCAGCAGCCGCGGUAAUAC